rnacentral:rRNA from 1 species
AUUGAACGCUGGCGGCAGGCCUAACACAUGCAAGUCGAACGGUAACAGGAAACAGCUUGCUGUUUCGCUGACGAGUGGCGGACGGGUGAGUAAUGUCUGGGAAACUGCCUGAUGGAGGGGGAUAACUACUGGAAACGGUAGCUAAUACCGCAUAACGUCGCAAGACCAAAGAGGGGGACCCUCGGGCCUCUUGCCAUCGGAUGUGCCCAGAUGGGAUUAGCUUGUUGGUGGGGUAACGGCUCACCAAGGCGACGAUCCCUAGCUGGUCUGAGAGGAUGACCAGCCACACUGGAACUGAGACACGGUCCAGACUCCUACGGGAGGCAGCAGUGGGGAAUAUUGCACAAUGGGCGCAAGCCUGAUGCAGCCAUGCCGCGUGUAUGAAGAAGGCCUUCGGGUUGUAAAGUACUUUCAGCGGGGAGGAAGGGAGUAAAGUUAAUACCUUUGCUCAUUGACGUUACCCGCAGAAGAAGCACCGGCUAACUCCGUGCCAGCAGCCGCGGUAAUACGGAGGGUGCAAGCGUUAAUCGGAAUUACUGGGCGUAAAGCGCACGCAGGCGGUUUGUUAAGUCAGAUGUGAAAUCCCCGGGCUCAACCUGGGAAC